ACUAUUUUGGCAGAAAAGUGCCAUGGAUUUAGAAUCCAUAAAUGUAAGAAUAAACUUACAGAUAGUA
rnacentral:tRNA from 1 species